rnacentral:rRNA from 1 species
AACGAACGCUGGCGGCAGGCCUAACACAUGCAAGUCGAGCGAGAUCUUCGGAUCUAGCGGCGGACGGGUGAGUAACGCGUGGGAAUGUGCCCUUCUCUACGGAAUAGCCUCGGGAAACUGGGAGUAAUACCGUAUACGCCCUUUGGGGGAAAGAUUUAUCGGAGAAGGAUCAGCCCGCGUUGGAUUAGGUAGUUGGUGGGGUAAUGGCCUACCAAGCCGACGAUCCAUAGCUGGUUUGAGAGGAUGAUCAGCCACACUGGGACUGAGACACGGCCCAGACUCCUACGGGAGGCAGCAGUGGGGAAUCUUAGACAAUGGGGGCAACCCUGAUCUAGCCAUGCCGCGUGAGUGAUGAAGGCCUUAGGGUUGUAAAGCUCUUUCAGCUGGGAAGAUAAUGACGGUACCAGCAGAAGAAGCCCCGGCUAACUCCGUG